rnacentral:rRNA from 1 species
UACGAAGGGGGCUAGCGUUGUUCGGAUUUACUGGGCGUAAAGCGCACGUAGGCGGAUCGUUAAGUCUGGGGUGAAAUCCUGGAGCUCAACUCCAGAACUGCCUUUGAUACUGGCGAUCUUGAGUCCGGAAGAGGUGAGUGGAACUCCUAGUGUAGAGGUGGAAUUCGUAGAUAUUAGGAAGAACACCAGUGGCGAAGGCGGCUCACUGGUCCGGUACUGACGCUGAGGUGCGAAAGCGUGGGGAGCAAACAGG